rnacentral:rRNA from 1 species
AUUGAACGCUGGCGGCAGGCCUAACACAUGCAAGUCGAACGAGUGGCGGACGGGUGAGUAAUGUCUGGGAAACUGCCUGAUGGAGGGGGAUAACUACUGGAAACGGUAGCUCAUACCGCAUACCAUCAGAUGUGCCCAGAGGGGAUUGGCUAGUUGGUGGGGUAACGGCUCCCCAGGGCGACGAUCCCUAGCUGGUCUGAGAGGAUGACCAGCCACACUGGGACUGAGACACGGUCCAGACUCCUACGGGAGGCAGCAGUGGGGAAUAUUGCACAAUGGGCGCAAGCCUGAUGCAGCCAUGCCGCGUGUAUGAAGAAGGCCUUCGGGUUGUAAAGUACUUUCAGCGGGGAGGCGUUACCCGCAGAAGAAGCACCGGCUAACUCCGUGCCAGCAGCCGCGGUAAUUC